rnacentral:rRNA from 1 species
CCUACCAAGGCGACGACGGGUAGACCGGCCUGAGAGGGCGACCGGCCACACUGGGACUGAGACACGGCCCAGACUCCUACGGGAGGCAGCAGUGGGGAAUAUUGCACAAUGGGCGGAAGCCUGAUGCAGCGACGCCGCGUGAGGGAUGACGGCCUUCGGGUUGUAAACCUCUUUCAGCAGGGACGAAGCGAGAGUGACGGUACCUGCAGAAGAAGCACCGGCCAACUACGUGCCAGCAGCCGCGGUAAGACGUAGGGUGCGAGCGUUGUCCGGAUUUAUUGGGCGUAAAGAGCUCGUAGGCGGCUUGUCGCGUCGACCGUGAAAACUUGGGGCUCAACUCCAAGCCUGCGGUCGAUACGGGCAGGCUAGAGUUCGGUAGGGGAGACUGGAAUUCCUGGUGUAGCGGUGAAAUGCGCAGAUAUCAGGAGGAACACCGGUGGCGAAGGCGGGUCUCUGGGCCGAUACUGACGCUGAGGAGCGAAAGCGUGGGGAGCGAACAGGAUUAGAUACCCUGGUAGUCCACGCUGUAAACGUUGGGCGCUAGGUGUGGGGAGCCUCUCCGGUUCUCUGUGCCGCAGCUAACGCAUUAAGCGCCCCGCCUGGGGAGUACGG